UACGUAGGGUGCAAGCGUUGUCCGGAAUUAUUGGGCGUAAAGAGCUCGUAGGCGGUUUGUCGCGUCUGCUGUGAAAACCCGAGGCUCAACCUCGGGCCUGCAGUGGGUACGGGCAGACUAGAGUGCGGUAGGGGAGAAUGGAAUUCCUGGUGUAGCGGUGGAAUGCGCAGAUAUCAGGAGGAACACCGGUGGCGAAGGCGGAUCUCUGGGCCUUGCCUGACACUGAGGAGCGAAAGCUGGGGGGAGCAAACAGG
rnacentral:rRNA from 1 species